rnacentral:lncRNA from 1 species
CACAAACUUAAAACUCAAUUUAUUUUUUGUUGAAUCAUUAAAAUAAAAUUUGAGAUCGUUUUUUCAAAUCUCCGUAUCAUACUAGACAUGUGUUUUAAAAAUCUUUGUGAUAUCUUUUACCGUUUGGUUUUAAAUUGGAAUUAAAAAUUGUAUUUUCCCAUAGAGUUUGAGGUAAAAUCCCGAGAAUUUCACCUCCCAGAAAUUUCAAGUGCCAGGAUGUUCGAAAAUAUGU